rnacentral:rRNA from 1 species
GAUGAACGCUGGCGGCGUGCCUAAUACAUGCAAGUCGAGCGAACAGACGAGGAGCUUGCUCCUCUGACGUUAGCGGCGGACGGGUGAGUAACACGUGGAUAACCUACCUAUAAGACUGGGAUAACUUCGGGAAACCGGAGCUAAUACCGGAUAAUAUAUUGAACCGCAUGGUUCAAUAGCGAAAGACGGUUUUGCUGUCACUUAUAGAUGGAUCCGCGCCGCAUUAGCUAGUUGGUAGGGUAACGGCUUACCAAGGCAACGAUGCGUAGCCGACCUGAGAGGGUGAUCGGCCACACUGGAACUGAGACACGGUCCAGACUCCUACGGGAGGCAGCAGUAGGGAAUCUUCCGCAAUGGGCGAAAGCCUGACGGAGCAACGCCGCGUGAGUGAUGAAGGUCUUCGGAUCGUAAAACUCUGUUAUUAGGGAAGAACAAAUGUGUAAGUAACUAUGCACGUCUUGACGGUACCUAAUCAGAAAGCCACGGCUAACUACGUG